UAGACAUCUCUUCUGCUAAAAUGUAUACAUAUGUUCCUCAAUAGCACAAGGAAGUUCUGAUGAUGAAUUUAAUGCAUCGUUUCAACAAAUUAAUUUUGAAGAAGACACUCAUGAUACAGCUGAAUAUGAUUCACCAAGUAGCUCAUUCAGUAAUUUACAGAAGCUUGGUUUUGGAAAACACACAUUGACACCAGAGUCCAAAGCUUCGAAUGAGCCAAAAUCAAAGUGAUUUGCAGCAUCAAAUUUGUCCAGCCGACAAUGCAGUCAGAGGAGAAAUCAACUGGCAUCCAAACUUGAGGAAAUUUUGGAGUAUCGAGAGAAUCCAGAUGAUCAUGUGGAACAGUCUGUGCUAAUGGAAUACCUGGAUGUCAUGGAUGAUCAGAAAAGUAUUCUUACCAGAGCCAUUAAGGCAUUAUUUCCAGAGGCAACUAAAAGGAGUGCUAUGAUUGCCAAUAAGUCAGUAGUCCUCUACACCAAUGUGGCAUUCAAAUCAAAUGUAAGAAAAUAUUCACCUAAACAAUUAUUUGGCGUAAAAGACAAAGAUAUGCAGACAUUACGUAAAGAAAUUAGCGAGAUAGAGCAGCGCCUGGCUGAAAGUGGAAAUGCUAUUUCCAAUGCAUUGGAUGCUAAGAAUUUUGAUGGAGCUAAAGAGCUUACAACAAGUUAUAAUGUAAUGCUGCAUCAAUACUUUUCCAUGACUUCAGCAAUGGUAAAAAUGUAUGAGAAGAAAAUAGUUGCCUUAAGUGUUAGCAAAGAUGAACAACCAAUUAGUAAGACACAAGAAGAACAGAUCAAUAAAGAAGUGAAAGAGUUAGAAAAGAUUUGCUGCCUGG